GCGGGUCAAUGGUAAGUGCUGCAAGAACUGGCCACCCAACAGGAUUCAUGACCAGCAGCCCAGGGACAGGGCCAUCUGCACAAGCAAGCUGGGAGAACACAGCAUGCUUCACCACGCCAGGCCUGGGGACAGUUUGCCGAGAACGGGAACUGCACUUAUUUUGGGCAAUUUGGGUUGGGUUUCUCACUCCAUUUUACUGCUGGUCAGAGGAGAAUUUGGCCAGUACUGGUACUACAUGUAGCUGUUGGAAUCUGCAACCAGGACUAUUUGAUGCCGCACCUAGCCCUCAUCAAUCCUGCUGCCAUUGACCAGUCUCUGUCCUUUCACUGUAUAGCCUGCCUGCUGCUCAACUCAGCCCCAGGAAAAGGGACAAAUCAACAGGAUUUCCCAUUCCACCAAGUGGGUCAGAGCUGGUUCCACAACCACAGUCACCUGGCUUUCCUCAAGACUCCUGUGUCCACAGGGGGCCUCUGUAUCAUAGUCACCGGUUCCUCCCAACUGUCCUUACCCACCCGGCAUCUGAGUCCCAGCUCUGAGCUGGGACCCUUCAGCCCUGGCUGCACAGUCGAGGCCCGGGGCUGAAGAUGUUCCGGCUUGGCCUCACACAACCGCUCACAAGGGUUCAGAGCCUGACCAGAUGUCACACAGACUGCAGUAACAGCCAGGCCCAGCUGCUUACCCCAGCUUGGGCUCUGUCUGACACCCGCAGGUUCCUCUGAGGACCCGUUUUCUCAGGUGAGAUUUCAUUUCUUGGGCAGUACCGCUCUUAUGACUGAACCACACUCGACUGCUCUAAAGGCAAAGGGCUGUUCCGAGUUGCAUCCGAAUCAGAAGACUGGCUGUUGCCGAGGCUCAGGUUCCCUAGCCUUCUUCCCUCCUUUCAGCCUAGAACCUGGAAACACCUGACCCAGCCCCUGACAAUGGUAACACUGGGACUUGACAGAAAUGGAAUGUCAGACCUUUGCUAAGCUACCACAAGCCCUGAGCUGCCCAUCGUGAGCUGGGUGUUAUCUGGCAAAAGUGGUCGCACACAACAGCACCUCGUCAUCAAAUGAACAUGGUGUACUCCACAACACUGAACUCAAGACUCAGCAACACAGACUUCCAUUCACCAAGGCCAGUCUGGCCCCAGCCUCUGCACAGCCUAGGCAUAACAAUGGGCACCAUUCAUGAGUCUUACAGAAGCUUCAUGAUGCAGCAGGUUCCACAGAACAGUUCUGGAAACUUGCUAACAGUGCCAGGGAGGUGACAGUAUCUUGCAAGUUUCUCCAGGACUCUGUAGAUACUCAAAACUAGCAACCCAUACAAGUAGUACAUCAGGUCAUGCUAGUCCAGGGCCAGAAGGACAGCCACAUAAGCAGAAACCAUGCAAAGUAACUUCAGUAAUUAACAGGCAAGACUGGGAUUCUCCCAUAAACCCUUAGAAAUGUUUGUUAACCUAUCAAAACCUCUAUUCAGGAUGUAAAUUAUAGCAAAAUAAAAAGCUAACAAAAUAA